CUGGAACCUGCCUUUCGGACUCCCCAUCAGAAUGGGCAGAUUGCUGACUCUUGCUGGUUCUGCCCACCAGCUGACAUGCUACUUCGCCUGGCACCAGCCAGGCCCGGGGCACAUCCAGCCUGGCAUGACCCCUUCCUCUGUACUCACCCGACUUAUGCCAUUGCUGAGAGAUGUGGGAAAUGAGAUGGCACCAUUAAAUGAAAGGAUGUAACUCUCUGCCAAACUCUCCUUGAACUGGAAAACAAGAGUCAUGUGAAAACUCUCCCUGCUGUUGGCAGCUGGGAUUUCGGAGCCACUCCACGAACUUUUCAAGAUGAUUUUCUACACUGAUUUCACGACAAGGCUGUUGGGAUGACCAAGGCCUCACCCUGCCUUCUUUGGGCUGUUGGCUGCCACCGUUUCCACUACUGAGAACCCCCAGACUUCUAUCGCCUUAGGCACCAAAUUCCUGGGCCAGUAGGAGUUUGGAAGAACCCUGGCUCUCAGAAGCGCUCCUCAGGACAAGCGUCUCUUCCCCGUCCUGGUGCAGGUGAACUGUAUUCCAUUUGAUCUUGACUGGAAAGCAGACAACCAGUUUCUCAUGCAAGAAAACUGAGGCCACAUAGAAAGCCUAGCUCCUACAACCUCAGUUGGAGAGGAGGGAUCUGGAGACUCCAUUCCAGGGAGGAUGCGAGGAACGAAGGAUGGGAGAGACUAACUUAACUCAGAGUAGUGCUGGAAGUCAACGUUGAGUUGAUGUCCGCAGAUUUUCUUCUACGCAUGUGUGGAAUAUCCAUGGACGGAAAGCCGAGGAGAUCAACAAACCCAAGCUGAUGGUCACCGCUGCGGUAGCUGCUGGCAUCUCCAACAUCCAGUCUGGCUAUGAGAUCCCCCAGCUGUUCCAGUGAGUGAUAACAUGUCCCAUAACUCCUCUGUGUAUCAGUUGUGCAAGAGACACUCAUUCUUAGUUGGCCCGCUGUUCAGGAACCUUGUUUGGGAAGUCUCAUCUUUUGCCUGCAUAGGAGUGGAAAGUAAUCAGAAAUGUCUUUGGGAGUUCCCGUUGUGGUGCAGCAGGUUAAGAACCUGACCAGUAUCCAUGAGGAUGUGGGUUCAAUCCCUGGGUUAAAGGAUCUGGCCUUGCCACAAGCUGGGGGUGUAGGUCACAGAUGCGGCUUUGGUCCUGCAUUGCUGUGGCUGUGGCAUUGGCUGGCAGCUGCUGCUCUGAUUUGACCCCUAGCCUGGCAACUUCUAUAUGCCGCAGGUGUAACUGUAAAAAGAAAAAUUUUAAAAAGGAAAUAAAUAUCAGAGGCCAAAAAAUAAUAGAAUAUCUUUUAAACCCUAAAAAAAAAAAAAAAAGUCAACCCAAUUCUGUUCAGUGAAAAUAUCCAAAAGUAAAGUUGAAAGACAUGUUUAGGUAAAUAAAAAAACAAAAAAGAAAUCCUUUACCAUACCUCAGGCACCUAGACUAGAUCCAUAUUGUGACUCAUGACCUCAGGUUCCUGGGGUUGCGGGGGUGGCUACGCUGGACAGAAGAGCUCUCUCUACAAAUAGCCACCUGGCACUGGCAGCAUCACCAACCAUGUGGAGUCCCCGCACAGACCCAAAGGCAGACCAGGAAUGCUGCUGUAAAUGACAGGGAGGAUCAGGGACAAAAGGCAUCAUAAAUUUAGUAAUUUUCUUAAAUGAGAAAUCAGCCUGUUAUGUCAUUAGCCAGUUUCCACUUACUAAAAAUUCACCAAUUAAUUAAUACUGUACUGAUAAUUUUAUUUAGAUAGGAAACAAGAUUAACAACCUGUGCUUUUUUUUAAAUAAAGAAGAUGAAGUACCAU
rnacentral:lncRNA from 1 species